GAUGAACGCUAGCGGCAGGCUUAACACAUGCAAGUCGAGGGGUAACAGGGAGCUUGCUCCGCUGACGACCGGCGCACGGGUGCGUAACGCGUAUAGAACCUACCUUUUACAGAGGGAUAGCCUUUAGAAAUGAAGAUUAAUACCUCAUAGUAUUGCGAGAUGGCAUCAUUUAGUAAUUAAAGAUUUAUCGGUAAAAGAUGGCUAUGCGUCCUAUUAGCUAGAUGGUAAGGUAACGGCUUACCAUGGCAACGAUAGGUAGGGGUCCUGAGAGGGAGAUCCCCCACACUGGUACUGAGACACGGACCAGACUCCUACGGGAGGCAGCAGUGAGGAAUAUUGGGCAAUGGAGGCAACUCUGACCCAGCCAUGCCGCGUGCAGGAAGACGGCCCUAUGGGUUGUAAACUGCUUUUAUACAGGAAGAAACACAACUACGUGUAGUUGCUUGACGGUACUGUAAGAUAAGCACCGGCUAACUCCGUGCCAGCCGCCGCGGUAA
rnacentral:rRNA from 1 species